AUGACUCCAGCGGUAAAUAUACCCUCGAGAGGUUCCACUAAUUCUGAAGGUCCAGAUAUAGCGGAGAAAGCCAAUGAGGGGAAAAAAGGAAACACUAUGGUCUUACAAGGGAUACAAAUAAUCUAUUGUUAAUCACAACAUCGUAUCUCAUGAAAGGAGAGAGAACAUAGUGUAACAAAAUAUAUAGCUGCAAAAACACAGGCGGUGAGUAACUGUCUCAACAAAAUAUAAACUUGGCUUAGUAUCAAAUACUAUUACGGACCAGUAAAAUGUUAGCCAGAAGUUAAUUAUAAUGGCAGAAUCAAUUAUACAGGCAGUCGGGAUAAGCGGAAAAUAUCAUAAGUAAACAAACAUAGUGAUAUGGCGUUUCGGAUGUAAAGAGGUUCUGAGGAUGAGAAAAGUCUAACUGUGCCUUCGAGGGCACCUAUCUGGCGUAAGAAGUCUAGCUACCUGCCUUAAUCAGGAACCACUGUAGUAUCAGGUCAGGAUAUUAAGGCUGACUGUGCCUUCGAGGGCACCUAUCUGUAAAUCGAUUACUAACUAGCUAUCUACCUCCAA